GGGAGAUUCAUAAUGUGUAUUUGUAUUUUUGUGAUUCAAUAAUCAACAAAAACUGUUUUUGGGUGUAAUCAAAUAUCUUAUGUUUGAUAAACCGCCAAGAAAAUAUUGUCUCGCGAACAUUUAAGCUGAUGUAGAGGUAGUGUAAGAGCAAUCUCUUGUUGUAAUGGUAUUUGAUGAAUGUGUGAGUGGUUGGCUUUCGUUUGUAUCUUCAUACUUGUCUCUUAACCCUUGAAAGUUGAAAAGAUCAUAAUCAUCAUAGAAUCUUGAUUCCAUUGUAAACUCAGGGAGGUCAAGAUGAUUUUCAAGAAUUUUGACUACAGCAGACAUGGUUGGCCUAAGUGCUGGAGAUGGACUGGUACAUAGCAAAGCUACAUUUAACAUCCUUAGAGCCUCGUCCUCGUUCAAAUCACUGCCCAAUGUUGCAUCUACUACUUCCUUCAGUUUUCCUUGUCUUUGUAGAACAAGAGCCCAAUCUAGGAGGCAGACAAAUUUCUCAUUGGGGCGAUAUGUCAUGUUGCUUUUCCCAGCAGCAAUCUCUAAUGCAAGAACUCCAAAACUGUAGACAUCUGCUUUGUAGGUCAAGUAGCCCCAUAGUGCAUAUUCAGGGGCCAUAUAUCCUAUGGUUCCGGCAACUCUAGUGGUAAUGUGUGUGUUGUUAUCAUCAUCAUCAAGUCUGGCCAGACCAAAGUCUGAGAUUUUCGGAUUUAGUUUCUUGUCAAGAAGUACAUUCGUUGCUUUGAUGUCUCUAUGGACAAUUUUCAAUGACGAUUCUUCAUGUAGGAAAGAUAAGCCUUUUGCUAUCCCAAUACAGAUCUUUUGCCUGGUUGGCCAGUCUAUUUUGAGCCGAUGUUCUUCUGGACCAAAUAAAGCACGAGCCAGGCUAUUGUUCUCCAUGUACUCAUACACCAGUAGCAGGUGAUUCCGUUCAGCACAACAUCCAUAUAGUUGUACAAGAUUUGGGUGGUGUAAACUAGAGAUCAUACCUAUCUCAUUUACAAACUCACGCUUCCCUUGUUUCGAUUUGGAUGAAAGCUGCUUAACAGCAAUAACUGCGCCAUCUGAUAGUGUACCCUUGUAGACAGAUCCAAAACCACCUUCCCCGAUUUUAUUUGCAGCGUCAAAAUUGUUUGUGGCAGCUUUGAUUUGUCUGAUGGUAAACACACCAGUCAUUGAAUCUAGUCCUCUUGAUUCUUCUUCCUUUGCUAUCUUGUUUCUGUGUCUCUUCCAAGCAACAAAUGAUAUUGUCAAAAUGAGAAUUAAUAAGGACACCACUGAUCCAGCUAUGAUGGGAACCAACUUUUUGUAAUCAGGAGGGGGCUUGAAAUUAGCUUCAAAAGAGAUGGCAGAAACUAAAGGGCCAUAGCUUCCUCUUCUAGGGAGAGCAGCUGUUCCUUUCCCAGCAUACUGAAAGCGCACUUCUAGAGUGCUGUCUGCUACAGUUGCAUUGAACUUUAUCGUGAAAGGUUUAUCAACUCCUCCAGCAUCAGUUCUAAUAUCAAAAUCUUUGAGCUUCCUCUCACCCUGAAUAUAGACAUCAAAUAUCCGUUUUCCAAGACUUUGGAAAGAUCGAUUGUCUCUUAUAACAAUCUCUGCAAAGUGCAGUGUCACGGUGUAGUUUCCAUUUGCUAAACAACGUCCAUAGUAAGUCAGAGAUAAAGCUGAGAGCCGAGCUGUCGUGUACAGUUCAGAGUCAUUUCCCUUAAUGGCAGAUAUAUUAUUCGCCAGGUAGUCUUUUGCUGUUAUAAUCUUAUCCCAGAAGUAUCCACUGUUGCUGGCUCCCCAGCUCUCUUUCGAGGAAGUAAAUUUUGCAGCACCUGCUGAAUCUCUAUCUGCUUCGUAAACAGUGUCCCCAAUAGUCACACUCUUUCCACCACAAUUUAUGUGCACCGAAUACCAUUUCUUUGAACAUCUUGGCACACAUUUCCCAAAUUCUGAAUUUUUCGUUCCAUUAUAGCUUCUGAAUAAGUUCAGAGUUUCCUGACAAAUAGGCUCAGAGCUCUCACUGAAGUUGUUGUAAGACAGGUCUAUCAUGUGUUUGGAAUUUCGACUUUUGACCCAACCUGGAAUUGGCCCAGUAAGUCGAUUUCCUACCAGGUACAAGAAGUCCAACUUCUUUAGACUCUCAAGAUUUGGGAUCUGUCCUUCAAACUUGUUGAAACUUAGAUCUAGAAGUUUUAAUUUAGGCAUCUUAGUUAUGUAAGGAGGAAUCUUCCCAGAUAAAUUGCAAUUCCUCAAUAUCAAUCUAGUUAGGCGUGUCAUAUUCCCAAGCUGUGGAAAUUCUGAAGCACCUCCAGUCAAAUCAGUGAUUCUCAAUUCGAUCAUUUGAGUUGAGACAGAAAUGAUUGGAGCUAUAGGUCCUUCAAAACCAGAAGCUUGAAUCUCUCUGUUAACCAAGCAUAAAGUCUGAAACAACUUGCAUAAAUCUAGCUAUUGAACACUUUUAUAUGCAUCAAAUGGUUUGAAUAUGCUUACAAUCUUUGAAGGGUUUUAAAACUCUCUAAGUUAGGAAGUUUUCCUGUGAAGUUGUUACCUCUCAGCCUAAGUUCUUUCAAAUUAGUGAGUUUAUUGAGCUCCUCUGGUAGCUGACCUGUGAGAUUAUUAAAACUAAGAAUGAGAAUCUGUAGAUUAACCAUGCCUCCGAGUUCUUUUGGAACAGUUCCAUUAAACAUGUUACUUUCCAAUCUCAUAUAAACUAGUGAAGUCAUGUUUCCUAAGUACUUCGGAAUUGGUCCAGAUAGUUGAUUCAGCAUAAGAGACAUGGUUUCCAGUUUCAUCGAUGUCCAUUCAGGGGGAAUUGUACCACUCAAAUAGUUGCAUGAGAGAUCAAUUAUGGUGAGAUUUGGUAACUUCGCCAGGGAUGGAGGAAGAACACCAGCAAGAUCUUGUCCUUUGAGUAAUAUGCUUUGUACAUGACAAUAACCAUCAGGGGUAUCACAAUUGCAGGUUACAUUGCUCACGUACACUGACAAAGCGUCUGUUCCUGGUGUACUCCAACUUGUGCUCUCAUCACAAGGAUUCACAUCAAAAUCCCAAUCACUUUUCCCUAACUCUUCUCCUAUUUCUCUCAGAGCAUUCUUUUCUUCUUCAGGAAGAAGACCUCUGUUUUGUGCUUCGCAGAUUAGGAGUAAACUGAAGGCGAUGAGCAAAAAUGAACAACUACUGUAAUGUGAGGAUGACAUCAUCU
rnacentral:misc_RNA from 1 species